rnacentral:rRNA from 1 species
CGAAAGCCUGACGGAGCAAUACCGCGUGAGGGAGGAAGGUUUUUGGAUUGUAAACCUCUUUUUUAAAGGAAGAAGAAAGUGACGGUACUUUAAGAAUAAGCAUCGGCUAACUCCGUGCCAGCAGCCGCGGUAAGACGGAGGAUGCAAGCGUUAUCCGGAAUUAUUGGGCGUAAAGCGUCCGUAGGUGGCUUAGAAAGUCAGUUGUUAAAGCCCACAGCUCAACUGUGGAUCGGCAAUUGAAACUACUAGGCUUGAGUGUGGUAGGGGUAGAGGGAAUUCCUAGUGUAGCGGUGAAAUGCGUAGAUAUUAGGAAGAACACCAGUGGCGAAGGCGCUCUACUGGGCCAUAACUGACACUGAUGGACGAAAGCUAGGGGAGCG